rnacentral:lncRNA from 1 species
UCAUCAUUUCCUAUCUUUACUCUUCCUUUCUUGUUUUCCGUCAGAACCUAUACCAUGAAUUGUCAGGUCAUUUACUUUAACAAAUGUUUAUAUAUUUACCUUUGAAAAGAGCACUGUCAAAAAUCUUAAUUUCAAGUUCCCACUCAGUUACUUAACUGUAUGGCUACAACCAAAUCACCCAACUUCUCAGAGGCUUAUUUUUUCCUCUGUAAAACUGGAAAAUUUAUACUGGAUCUGCUACUCUGAUGAGAUAAAGUGGGAGGUGCUUGUUAUUUUUUGGGUGAGGAGAAAAGAUGAAGAACAGUGGAGAAAAGUGGAGAAAAGAUGAAGUUUAUGCAGCAAAUUGCUAACUGGAACAAGGUUCCAUACAGAUAGCCAGCCAUGGGAGUCAGAAUUUGAACUCAGAUCUGGUCUGGUUCUGAAGCCUCUCUUCUUUCCAGCUGUGAGACAAAGGAGCAAAUAUGAGAAGCACCUUUUGCUCACUUCUGCUUGCCAGCAGAAUUUCACAAAAGCCCUGGACUGUGAAGAUGUUUGGAAAGAUGCUUUGAAGACAAAACCUUUAACAGGGUUAGUGUUUAUGCCUCUGUAAUCUACAACCGGAUGCGCUCUUACACCCAAGCCUUGAUGGGAUUCUGCUGCGACGGAAAUUCUGAGCAAAUUUGAUGUGAUUGUGCAGGAAGAAGCAACAGGAUUGUACCCACCUAUAACGAGAAAGCUUAACUUACUGACAUAUUCUCAUUGCUGAAGACUCUGUCUGAAUGAGGAUUUCAAUCUCAAGUCUAGGAUGUGAUUUCAUCUGGUAAAUGUCUUAUGGAAGGCUGAGGAGCAGCCUAAUGAGGUACUGCUGAGUUGGGAGGAGGUGGGAGGAGCUGAGAGGGCUAUCUGGACUCACUUCCCUCAAAAUGAAACCUUGAUAUUUUCAAAGCUUGUGUCCCUGGAGCCCUCACUUGGGUUAGGGGGAGACCCCUGAUUUUAUUUAUUCAUGCUAGGGAUGGUAAUACCUUGUUCUCUAGGUCCUGGGCUUUCUAAAGAAGAUUAUUUUUAGCUCUAAAGUUAAAUGACACAUUGUUUGGGGGAGGAGGGGAGAUCCUUUGAUGGGGUCCUUUAAAAGAGUGCCCCACCCCCAACGCUGUCCUCUUGCCUUGGCAGGACCUCUUGGCAGGACCUGUCUGAGUACUUUGGACAAAGACAGUAAGCAUCAUUGCUUCUGUUUGCGGCUAGUUUUUCUUUCUGUUUCCAGGUGAAGGGGAGAGGCAGACACGGAAGAAGCGCAUCUGUAGCUAAGAAAGAAAUACACUGACCCCAUUUCCAGUGGUUGAGCUUCUCUCCAAGUAGGUAGAUGCUGGCGAUGAAGACGUAGCUGAGAGAGAAGAAAGCUGCUAGACCCAAGAGGCUGAGUUUGGCAAACACAGGAUACACCCAGGUACCCGUCUCAAAGUAGAGCCAUAGGAUG